CAGCAGCCGCGGUAAUACGGAGGGUGCAAGCGUUAAUCGGAAUUACUGGGCGUAAAGCGCACGCAGGCGGUCUGACAAGUCAGAUGUGAAAUCCCCGGGCUUAACCUGGGAACUGCAUUUGAAACUGUCAGGCUGGAGUCUUGUAGAGGGGGGUAGAAUUCCAGGUGUAGCGGUGAAAUGCGUAGAGAUCUGGAGGAAUACCGGUGGCAAAGGCGGCCCCCUGGACAAAGACUGACGCUCAGGUGCGAAAGCGUGGGGAGCAAACAGGAUUAGAUACCCCAGUAGUCCCUGUCUCUUAUAC
rnacentral:rRNA from 1 species